rnacentral:tRNA from 1 species
GCGAGGGUGGCGGAACUUGGCAGACGCGCCAGAUUUAGGAUCUGGUGGGCAACCGUGGGGGUUCGAGUCCCCCCUCUCGCACCA